GAACGCUGGCGGCGUGCCUAACACAUGCAAGUCGAGCGAGAAACUCAUAAACGAGCCUCGGGCAAGUGAGUGAGCGGAAAGCGGCGGACGGGUGAGUAACGCGUGAGUAAUCUGCCUUAAGAGGGGGAUAACGCAGAGAAAUCUGCGCUAAUACCGCAUAACACAUAACUAUCGCAUGAUAGAGAUGUCAAAAUUCCGGUGCCUUAAGAUGAGCUCGCGUCCGAUUAGCUUGUUGCGGGUAACGGCCCACCAAGGCGACGAUCGGUAGCCGGACUGAGAGGUUGAACGGCCACAUUGGGACUGAGACACGGCCCAGACUCCUACGGGAGGCAGCAGUGGGGGAUAUUGCGCAAAUGGGGGAAACCCUGACGCAGCAACGCCGCGUGAAGGAAGAAGGUCUUCGGAUUGUAAACUUUUGUCUUUUGGGACGAAGAAGUGACGGUACCAAAGGAGGAAGCCACGGCUAACUACGUGCCAGCCGCGGC
rnacentral:rRNA from 1 species